UCUCCUCCCUUCAAUAUUCCACCGGCGGCGGAACGGUUCUCUCUCCCUUCACUUUUAAACUCGCGACGGUGAUGUACAUCAUCUCCGGCGAGACUUCGACCUUGCUCUCUCGUUUCGUUCUCCGUACUCUCUUCGUCUCUUGCGUUCUCAAUCGCUCUCUGCGUUCGAUCUCACCUCGGUUCUCAGCCUCUACUUAUGAAUUCAACAUGAUGAUGAGGUUGAUGAUUCUCUGCAGUUGCGAUGAAAAUGAUUUGGUUGCGAUUCUCAGAGCUGGACAACGAUUGAAGAUUUGAUGGAUAUCGAAUCUUGAUUGAAGAUGGUGAAGGUUGAAGCGGUGAUGAAGGUACUGAGCGAAAGAUGAAGGUGAGAUUUUCUGUUACGAUUUUCUUGCUUCUUUCUCUUUUGUUAUCGAUUUCCUUUUCUGCAAAUUUCAAAGGUGAUGAUGAGAUGUUGAAUUGAAGAAUGGUGAAGGUUUAGAAUGAAGAAUGGAAGAGGUUGAAGAUGAGAAAAAAGAGGUUGAAAAGAGGAGGCCGUGAAGGUGAUGGAGAUGGAAGAAAGAUGGAGGAGGAUCGAAGGGUGUGGAAAACCAGAAGUGAAGAUUGUGAAUGGUGAAGAAAGCUUUGAAGAGGGAGUUGAAGAUUGAGAGAGUGGAGGAGAGUUCUGAAUGAUGGUGGUUCUGAUUUAUAGAAGCUCCUCAGGGGUUGUGAUGUUAAAAGCUCAUGAAGAAGAGGAAAAGAAUUGAAGGAGAAUUAGCUCUUGAAGACUCGAUCACAUGAAUACUGUAUGAUAGGCUUUAGGAAGUCAAUUGAAUUAGUCGGAGAGUCAACAAGUCAACGGUCAACCGUGGCUUUUCUUUUGUAAUUUUCUUUUGUAAUUUUCUUUUUGUUGUAAUAAUUGAAACUUGUAACAACUUGUAUUCCACGUGGCUUGAACUUUAUAAUUGUGACGAACUUAUGACGGUGACUUAUGUUCCAAACAGUGUGAAAUGAAUGGUUUCCUUCUCUUC